CCAAUAGCGUAUAUUAAAGUUGUUGCAGUUAAAAAGCUCGUAGUUGAAUUUCGGGAUCAAUUUAUUGGUCGUGCUAUUGUACGCACUGGUAUUAUUGAUUCCUACCUUCUGACGAACCAUGAUGUCAUUAAUUUGGUGUCUUGGGGAAUCAGGACUGUUACUUUGAAAAAAUUAGAGUGUUUAAAGCAGGCUCACGCUUGAAUACAUUAGCAUGGAAUAACGAAAUAGGACGUUUGAUUCUAUUUUGUUGGUUUCUAGGAUCGACGUAAUGAUUAAUAGGGAUAGUUGGGGGCAUUAGUAUUCAAUUGUCAGAGGUGAAAUUCUUGGAUUUAUUGAAGACUAACUACUGCGAAAGCAUUUGCCAAGGAUGUUUUCAUUAAUCAAGAACGAAAGUUAGGGGAUCGAAGACGAUCAGAUACCGUCGUAGUCUUAACCAUAAACUAUGCCGACUAGGGAUCGGAUGAUGUUAAUUUUUUAAUGACUCAUUCGGCGCCUUACG
rnacentral:rRNA from 1 species